AAAGGAAAAGGGGGGGGCUAUAAUGCAGUCGAGCGAAUGGAUUAAGAGCUUGCUCUUAUGAAGUUAGCGGCGGACGGGUGAGUAACACGUGGGUAACCUGCCCAUAAGACUGGGAUAACUCCGGGAAACCGGGGCUAAUACCGGAUAACAUUUUGAACCGCAUGGUUCGAAAUUGAAAGGCGGCUUCGGCUGUCACUUAUGGAUGGACCCGCGUCGCAUUAGCUAGUUGGUGAGGUAACGGCUCACCAAGGCAACGAUGCGUAGCCGACCUGAGAGGGUGAUCGGCCACACUGGGACUGAGACACUGCCCAGACUCCUACGGGAGGCAGCAGUAGGGAAUCUUCCGCAAUGGACGAAA
rnacentral:rRNA from 1 species